AUUUAACACAACAUUCAUAUUGUUAGUGAUAAUAAAUAAUUAAAUUAUUUACCACAUUAAUUUGAUAUUAAAUAGAGACAAAAUGGGAAGAGACUGUGAUUAACAGCUGCAGAGCUGCACUCAACACAGCUUCUCUGUAAUAUUUAUGCAAAUCUCCAUCUCCUCUUGUAAUAUUAGCACCGUGCUUAUCUAGAGAGGAAGCGCUUCUCAUUAGUCCUCCUUCAACACAAACAUGUUUGCUUCAGCUCCACUGCUGCUGCUGGCUCUCGCCCCCUAUGUGUUCUGUGCUACUGAGCUCAUCCAGCCAGACUCAGUGCUUAUAAAGCCAGGAGAGACUUUAACCAUCACCUGUAGAGUGUCUGGAGCUUCUAUCACUGAUAGCAGCAGCCACCAUGGAACAGCUUGGAUUCGACAACCUGCAGGAAAAGCUCUGGAAUGGAUCAAUUUAAUUUACUAUGAUGGGGAUAUUGCUAAGAAAGAAUCACUUAAAAACAAGUUUGUCGUCUCUCGAGACACUUCCAGUAACACCGUGACCUUACGGGGACAGAACAUGCAGACUGAAGACACAGCUGUGUAUUACUGCGCUCGAAGACCACACUGACACAACAAGCUGCAGCGCUGCACAAAAACAUCAUCUUCAUCACAAUUCAGUUCUGUAUUUAAAUAAUAAGCACAUUUAACUGAUUAACUAAUCCCCACAUUACAGACACUUCAACCCAAACAUUUAGAUCAUUUAAUCAUUUAACAAAAACUAAUACAAAAGUUUACUCAGUUCAUAGUUAUUCAGAAUAUAUUAUUUAUCUUUUUAAAUGAAAUGCAUCUGAAAGCCCAGUUAAUAUUCCACUUGCUUCACAUGUUUGAAAGCAGUUUUUGACUUCAUAUAAUUUAAUUCAUAUGGUACUCACAAUAAUAGACAUGAAAAAAUAAAAAGUUCUCUCAAUGACUAA